rnacentral:rRNA from 1 species
GCACGAGAAACUUCGUAGCAAUACGGGGCUGUAAAGUGGCGAACGGGUGAGUAAUGCAUGGGUGACCUGUCCUCAAGAUGAGAAUAACCUCGCGAAAGCGGGGCUAAUACUCAAUGCCAUCCCGGUCUUUCGGGAUCGGGAUGAAAGAUAGCUGUUACAGGCUUUUGCUUGAGGAGGGGCCCAUGUCCCAUCAGCUUGUUGGUAGGGUAACGGCCUACCAAGGCUAUGACGGGUAGCUGGUCUGAGAGGACGACCAGCCACACUGGCACUGAGACACGGGCCAGACUCCUACGGGAGGCAGCAGUGAGGAAUCUUGCGCAAUGGACGAAAGUCUGACGCAGCGACGCCGCGUGGGGGAUGAAGGCCUUCGGGUUGUAAACCCCUUUUGGUGGGAAAGAAACACCCGGAUGUUAACAGCGUCCGGGUUUGACGGUACCCACAGAAAAAGCCACGGCUAACUCUGUG